rnacentral:rRNA from 1 species
GCAGUCGAACGAUUAAAGCUCAUCUUCGGUGAGUGCAUAGAGUGGCGUACGGGAGAGUAACACGUAAGUAAUCUACCCUCGGGUGGGGAAUAACUUAAGGAAACUUAAGCUAAUACCGCAUAAUGCAGCGGCUCCGUAUGGAGACAGUUGUUAAAGCAUUUAUGCGCCUGGGGAGGAGCUUGCGGCAGAUUAGCUAGUUGGUAAGGUAACGGCUUACCAAGGCAACGAUCUGUAGCCGGUCUAAGAGGACGGUCGGUCUCACUGACACUGAAUAACGGGUCAGACUCCUACGGGAGGCAGCAGUCGGGAAUUUUGGGCAAUGGGCGAAAGCCUGACCCAGCAACGCCGCGUGAAGGAUGAAGUCUUUCGGGAUGUAAACUUCGGAAAUAUGGGAAGAAUAAAUGACGGUACCAUAUCUAAGGUCCGGCUAACUACGUGCCAGCAGCCGCGGUAAUACGUAGGGACCAAGCGUUGUUCGGAUUUACUGGGCGUAAAGGGUGCGUAGGCGGCGCCGCAAGUCAAUUGUGAAAUCUCCGGGCUUAACUCGGAACGGCCAAUUGAUACUGCAGUGCUAGAGUGCAGAAUGGGCAAGUGGAAUUCUUGGUGUAGCGGUGAAAUGCGUAGAUAUCAAGAGGAACACCUG